GAGGACGCGCCCGGGCAUCGCUGCCGGGCUUUUGGGUUCCUGCCGAAUCGACGCCCUCCCCUCUCCCUCCCUUCUCCCCCCCUCGUCCUUCCCACGCGCUCCCGCCUGGCCUGCGCCUCCCCUCCCUUCCCUUCUCCCUCCCAUCCCGCAGCAAACAAAAUGGCUGCUGCAUGGCCAUUUUGUUUUCCGUCUGGAAAGGGGGAAGCCAGGACGCUGAGACUUGGCUCUUUUUUGGAGCCCAACUCUCCCGUCUCUACGUGGCACCGGCUGUAGUGAGAGAGGGGAAAAAAAAGAGCGAGAGAGAGAAAAAAAAGGACCUUUUGGAACGAGACCAAAGUCAGAGGCAGAGAGUGGGUAGUUUUGGCGUAUGUUGAGCACUGAAAAUGCCUGGAAUUGCCAAACUGAGCUUUUGUACUAGCAGCGUAACGGCUACCCGGUGCCUGCAGCGUCGCAGGGCUGCACGGUAUAGCCGGACGGAAAGGUUUGUUCGCUAUACUCAAUAAAACAGCCCUCCUUUCUUCUGUGUUUAUAAAGUACCAGAGAGCACUGUUGUCUCAUUUGCUUUUGGACGGGCGGAUGGCUUUACACAUCGGCUUGGUAUGAUUAGAGCUGGUCAGUGCCGGACGGUAACGUUUUAACCUGUUGUGUGUCCUCUUGCUGUUGGUGACUCUGAUACCCGACCUGGAUUUAACUGAUGUGAUCCGGAGGAUCGGCUUGGUUUUCUGUAGGCAUUUCUCUUUUGUUUACUGCCUUCUUGCCUCGAAAGUUUUCCUCUCAGGAAUACAAAAUCUUAAUUUAAAUGUUAAAAGAAAGAGCUGUUUCUGGCUUUUUUUUUUUUUUUUUUUAAGCCCUCGCUUUUCUCACGGGGAUGGAGCUGAACUGUGUUCACAAGCUGCUUACUGCACCAGCCUGUGUAUCCUGCACACGUUAAGGUGUGACACACGACAGAGACGCCAUCAACAGUAACAUGCCUCGAAAAGUUUAAGGGAACUUGGUGCUGUUACCAUACAAUUUUGCGCAGAAACGUGGCAAAAAUACCACAGAAUGUGCCAAAUAAAAGUGAUUUGUUUUUUGGUUCUUUCAAGUGAAUCUGCGUUUCCUGCCGUAGCCUGGAUGUCUUGGAGGUAGUGGCCACGUCUCUUCGCUCGCAGCCGUUCGGAUCUCAGUCAAGUGGCAUGGGUGGGAUCGGGCUCUGCUCAGGCAUCGCUGUUGGAGCCAUCGUCCUGCCUUCCCCUGAGGGGCUGCCCAGCCAUCGGGAGAGGAGCGGACGCUUGCAGAGAGGAGCUGGGAGCAGAAAGAGGUGAAAUCGCUUUUCUCGCACAGAAAGGAGCUUCGGAGUAGCCAACACCUGAAUCAGGAUCAUCUCACUGCCUUAGAGUGCCAUGGUCCCAAGCUGUCCUUGAGGCUGAGGUAGUAGAUUGAAUAGUUGUGGAGUCCGGUCCUCCCUUUGAGCUAACUAUACAAUCUACUGUCUUUCCUAAGGAGACAGUCAGGUCUUCAGUUCUCAUCUACACCAGGCGUGGAGGCAGGUGGUGCGAGUAAUGCAAAGCCAGUGAUACGGCGUGCAUCAGCCAAGACCUCUGUACUGCUCUGUGGAGGUGAGGUAGUAGGUUGUAUAGUUUGGUGGGAGGGAUUUUAUCCCAUUUCAGGUGAUAACUAUACAGUCUAUUGCCUUCCUUAAAGAGCAGCAAAACCUCUGGAGGACUGGCUCAGCCACGUUGGUCCUGAGGCAUCACUUCUCUCUGUUGAGGGUCCCAAAACACAGCACAGCAUUGUCGAACAGCUCGGUGGCUCUUCUCUUACAGCACCCAGGACUGUGUUCUUCCAGGGACUGCUCCAUGCCUCAGCUAUGCCUAUGGAGCCACCCUCCUGCAUAAAAUCAAUCUGUUUCAUGGGUGCAAGAGAAACAAUGAAUUGAGCUGGUGCAUCAGCUUCUGGUGUUCAGUACUGUUCUUUUUUGCAGGAGAUGGGCUCAAGCUGUAAAUGGUUUAAAUGUGCUGUUCUUUUCUGGUCUAUCCUCAAGUGUGAAGGGGAGUGGGUGCUUUGGUACAAAGAGGAUAGAUCUGAGCACCCAAUUCUGAAGCCUGGGUUAAAAACUAGAUCCAAGAGGGUGCUUAUCCUGUAGACUCAAAGCCUUGAGAGCUGAUCCAAUUUGGCUGGUUGGUCCCACUCAGGAAACGCAUUCUGGUUUGGACAAGUUCCCAUCUUUGCCAUGGUAUAGAGUUAGAGGGUGGUUGUUUCUGGUUUGAUAAUCCAUAUCAACCUAACACUAAUACACAGACCCUGGUGAGGAGACUAGGGCUCCUGUGUACUUACAUAGGAUAAGCCACUGGUUCAGACUAACAGCCUGUCCUAGAGGGGAGACAGGUAAGGAAGAGAUGUAAGCCAAAGGGAGCAAGUCCUAAUCCUUUUGGGUUCUCCCAGGCAGGUAGUACUGUCAUAUGCCAACAGACAUGAGCAGACAGCCUGCUCCAGAGCUCUGGCACUUGACCAGGGGCAGGGAAUUGUUAUUUCUUCUCUUUCUUAGGAGCAGAUGGGACUAACCCUCUGCUAGAUGCAAGAGCAAGUAGGAUCGAGCUGUAACACGAUCAGGGCUGCAUCAGUUCCUCAAGACUGAAGGCCACCUCAGGCCAUUAUCACUGCCAUCUCACUGCCAUGGAGACGGGAGAGAUCCGAGACAUCAGGGAGCGAGGGCAAGCAGAGGCCACCUUCUCAGAUGAUGUGGGAGGAAGAGACCUGCAAAAAGAAACUGGAGCCCUCCAAUUUCACCCUGAGCAAACGCACAGGGAGACCCAGACCUGACUGCUUGGGCCGUGGGGCUCCCCAGAAAUGAAGCAGCUUGGUUAAGGCUCCUCUGCUUCCUGGGAUAGGGUGUAGCUGUGGUGAGGCUGGGAUGGGACUUGCUCAGGCUGGGCAGCAGCUGGUGGGUGGGGAUGCCGCAGUGUCUAGUGGUGAAGGAAUGCAGCCCUCGCUCCAUAAAUCUGGCUCUUCAACAGUCCUGGUGACGUGCUGUGCAAAACUACAGCCUGGUCCUCUCAGAUGCAUUAUUAUCCUCUAGCUGCUUGCUAAGGGGCAGGGCUCCUACCCACAAAUCGCUUGGAAGGGACCAAAAUAGCACCAGAAGCAUGGGAACAGAGCAUAUCCACUUCGUGUUUAACAAGGGGGAAUGCGUUUAAACUCAAACCGGGGAACUUCAGGUUGGAUAUAAGGCAGAAGCUCUUCCCUGUGAGGGUGCUGAGGCGCUGGCACAGGGUGCCCAGAGAAGCUGUGGCUGCCCCAUCCCUGGCAGUGUUCAAGGGCAGGUUGGACACAGGGGCUUGGAGCAAGCUGCUCUAGUGGAAGGGGUCCCUGCCCGUGGGAGGGGUUGGAACUGCAUGAGUUUUAAGGUCCCUUCCAACCCAAAACAUGCUAUGAUUCUAUAAGAACCAAUCCUGUGUGUCCCAGGUGAAAUCAGUUCAGUCCCCUCCAUUGCAUUGAUGCUCAUGCAGGGAAUCUCGAGUGAUGAAGCUGCGCUAUCUGGAAGCCAUGAAUAAAAUAUUACUGGAGAGAUUCUCUUCUGCAAAUGAA